GCCCUUGGUGAUCCCGCCGGACCCGACUGCUAUCAGAGUGGGACUAAGCCAUGCGAGUCGACGUAGCAAUGCGUGGCGAACGGCUCAGUAACACGUAGUCAACAUGCCCAGGGGACGUGGAUAACCUCGGGAAACUGAGAAUAAACCACGAUAGGUCACGAUUUCUGGAAUGGAUCAUGGCCUAAAUCUACAUGGCCCCUGGAUUGGACUGCGGCCGAUCAGGCUGUUGGUGAGGUAAUGGCCCACCAAACCUAUAACCGGUACGGGCUCUGAGAGGAGAAGCCCGGAGAUGGGCACUGAGACAAGGGCCCAGGCCCUAUGGGGCGCAGCAGGCGCGAAACCUCUGCAAUAGGCGAAAGCCUGACAGGGUUACUCUGAGUGAUUUCCGCUAAGGGGAUCUUUUGGCACCUCUAAAAAUGGUGCAGAAUAAGGGGUGGGCAAGUCUGGUGUCAGCCGCCGCGGUAAUACCAGCACCCCGAGUGGUCGGGACGAUUAUUGGGCCUAAAGCAUCCGUAGCCGGUUCUGCAAGUCUUCCGUUAAAUCCAGCCGCUCAACGGAUGGGCCGCGGAGGAUACUACAGGACUAGGAGGCGGGAGAGGCAAGCGGUACUCAGUGGGUAGGGGUAAAAUCCUUUGAUCCAUUGAAGACCACCAGUGGCGAAGGCGGCUUGCCAGAACGCGCUCGACGGUGAGGGAUGAAAGCUGGGGGAGCAAACCGGAUUAGAUACCCGGGUAGUCCCAGCUGUAAACGAUGCAGACUCGGUGAUGGGCUAGCCUUGUGCCAGCCCAGUGCCGCAGGGAAGCCGUUAAGUCUGCCGCCUGGGGAGUACGGUCGCAAGACUGAAACUUAAAGGAAUUGGCGGGGAGCA
rnacentral:rRNA from 1 species